rfam:Paraprevotella clara CAG:116 genomic scaffold, scf86
CUAACUUUGCAACCGCAUCGGUUCAUCUCCCUCAUCGCAUACGGGGGAAUGAUUAAAAGGGAAUCAGGUGAGAAUCCUGAACAGUCCCGUUGCUGUAUGUCUCAUAAAAAAGCGUAGUAAACACAUACUCUAUGCCACUGAAAGGCCGCGUGCCGAUUGGGAAGGCGUUUACUGCGGAGACGAGUCAGAAGACCUGCCAUGCAAUAUAGUUCAAU